UCUCUUCUUACCAGUUUAAUAUCUGAUACGUCCUCUGUCUGAGGACAAUAUAUUAAAUGGAUUUUUGGAGCAGGGAGAUGGAAUAGGAGCUUGCUCCAUCCACUCCACGCAUAGACCUGAUAUUGCAGUACCUCCAGGAUCCUUGC
ensembl:snRNA U2 U2 spliceosomal RNA